CGUGUUUUGCAAGACGUGUUUGAUAAACUUUGCUGAAAGUAGGGGAAAACUGGCAUGCCCUUCAUGUGAUAAACCCCUUACAUUUGACUCCAAUGCAAAUAAUGAUAAGGGGGAUUCUAGUUCUAAGCCUACUGUCAAAGGGUUUAGGUCCUCAAGUAUAUUGAACAAAAUUCAGCUCGAUGAAUUCCAGACAAGCACUAAAAUAGAAGCUUUGAGGGAAGAAAUUAGGUUGGUUGAAAGAGACGGUUCUGCAAAAGGAAUAGUUUUUAGCCAGUUCACGUCGUUUUGGAUCUGAUACACUAUUCUCUUCAUAAGUCGGGCAUCAGUUGUGUUCAAUUAGUUGGAUCCAUGUCUAUGGCUGAAAGAGAUGCUGCAGUUACCACAUUUACUGAAGAUCCAGAAUGCAGGAUACUUCUUAUGAGCUUGAAAGCUGGAGGUGUUGCCCUCAAUCUUACAGUUGCAUCACAUGUUUUCUUGAUGGAUCCUUGGUGGAAUCCUGCGGUGGAGCUGCAAGCACAAGAUAGAAUCCAUCGAAUAGGGCAACAUAAACCAGUCAAGCGUGUUUUGCAUUUCUUGUACUUUGGAUGCCGUUGACUGGAGAGCUUAUUAUUGUUUUCUAAUUUUGCAGGAUUGUGAGAUUCGUAAUUGAGGAUACAAUUGAAGAAAGGAUCUUAGAGUUACAAGAGAAGAGGAAACUAUUUUUUGAAGGGCAAGUAGUACUGUCUUUUUCUUACCGUCGUUUAUAUGGUUGCAUGUAUUUGACUAAAGGAUAUGGUGAUGAGUUGAAAUUAUUUUCAUACAUUUCCUUCAGUGGGAGAGGCCUUCAGAAGUUAUGGAAAUCAAGUAAUUUUCUUUUAGAUGUUACAACUGAUAGUGAGAGCUCAUUUAAAGCCUGUUCAUGUCUUCUCAUUCAAAUAAUUCUCAAAGAUAAAGCAUUUGAUGAAUGUUAUUGACAGCCUUUCUGUUGCGUUUUGCUUUUGAGUUCACUUAUUUGCUCCCACUCCCUCCCUCCUCCGCUCUUUCUUUCGAAAAUCAUUUUCCUCUAACUGUUUGUUUUCCCUCUGACAUGCUGAACUUCCAAGUUUUUGAUUGCAGGACUGUCGGUGGUUCUUCAGAUGCCUUGGGAAAGCUAACAAAGUCAGACUUGGAUUUCCUGUUUUAUCGUCACUUUUAAAUGUUUUCUGUUUCUUCAGUUUGGCAAACAAAUUCUCAUAUGCUUUGUAUAGCUUCUAGCAAAAAUUUUGUACCUAGUGUUCUGACAUUUGCCCUUAGGCUGUGCAGCGUUUGAUCUAUCCUGAGUGAG